AACGAACGCUGGCGGCGUGCCUAACACAUGCAAGUCAGGGAGAAAGAGGUAGCAAUAUCUCGAGUAAACCGGCGAACGGGUGCGUAACGCGUAGGCAACCUUCCUUGUGGACGGGGAUAACCCCGGGAACCGGGGAGUAAUACCCGACUGUUAUUCAGUGGCAGCAUUGUCGUUGAAUAAAAGGACCCGGAAACGGGACGGCCAUGGGAGUGGGCCGUGCGUCCCACUUAGAUAGUUGGUGGGGUAACGGCUCACCAAGCGACGAUGGGUAGCUGGUCUGAGAGGACGACCAGCCACACUGGAACUGAGACACGGUCCAGACUUCUACGGAAGGCAGCAGUGAGGAAUAUUGCUCAAUGGGCGAAAGCCUGAAGCAGCGACGCCGCGUGAGGGA
rnacentral:rRNA from 1 species